UACGAAGGGGGCUAGCGUUGCUCGGAAUCACUGGGCGUAAAGGGCGCGUAGGCGGAUCUUUAAGUCGGGGGUGAAAGCCUGUGGCUCAACCACAGAAUUGCCUUCGAUACUGGGGAUCUCGAGACCGGAAGAGGUGAGUGGAACUGCGAGUGUAGAGGUGAAAUUCGUAGAUAUUCGCAAGAACACCAGUGGCGAAGGCGGCUCACUGGUCCGGUUCUGACGCUGAGGCGCGAAAGCGUGGGGAGCAAACAGG
rnacentral:rRNA from 1 species